UACGAAGGGGGCUAGCGUUGUUCGGAAUUACUGGGCGUAAAGCGUAUGUAGGCGGAUCGUUAAGUCGGGGGUGAAAUCCCGAGGCUCAACCUCGGAACUGCCUUCGAUACUGGCGAUCUUCGAGUCCGGGAGAGGUGAGUGGAACUCCGAGUGUAGAGGUGAAAUUCGUAGAUAUUCGGAAGAACACCAGUGGCGAAGGCGGCUCACUGGCCCGGUACUGACGCUGAAAAGCGAAAGCCAGGGGAGCAAACGGG
rnacentral:rRNA from 1 species